rnacentral:rRNA from 1 species
UACGUAGGGUGCAAGCGUUAUCCGGAAUUAUUGGGCGUAAAGAGCUCGUAGGCGGUUUGUCGCGUCUGCUGUGAAAACUGGGGGCUCAACCCCCAGCCUGCAGUGGGUACGGGCAGACUAGAGUGCGGUAGGGGAGAUUGGAAUUCCUGGUGUAGCGGUGGAAUGCGCAGAUAUCAGGAGGAACACCGAUGGCGAAGGCAGAUCUCUGGGCCGUAACUGACGCUGAGGCGCGAAAGCGUGGGUAGCAAACAGG